AUUAAAAAAUAGCAAAUGAUAAAAUAAAAAAUAUUAAAAAUCAUUUUUAGAAACUAGAAAUUAAAAGAGAAAUAAUGCAAUUGGUCCCAUAUUUUUUGGACCAAUAAUAAAAGAGAUAUGGAUUUUUGAAAAUGAGAUGUAAAUAAAAAAAGAAAUAGAAAAUAAAAUCAGAAUUUAAAAAUGGAAAAAACACGAGCCCUUGGAUCUGAGCUUAUUAUUUGAGCUGGCAGAUCCAAGGAUCCACAAGCGUGCGCCUAAUAUAGUCCACAGUCAAUGCAACC
rnacentral:lncRNA from 1 species